AACGAACGCUGGCGGCGCGUCUUAAGCAUGCAAGUCGAGCGGCAAGGGCAGCAAUGCCCCUAGAGCGGCGGACUGGUGAGUAACGCGUGGGUGAUCUACCUAUAGGUUGGGGAUAGCCAUUAGAAAUAGUGGGUAAUACCGAAUGUGGUUGCGCGACUACGGUUGCGUAAAGAAAGGAGCUACGGCUCCGCCUUAAGAUGAGCCCGCGUCCCAUUAGCUAGUUGGGGGUGUAACGGACCACCAAGGCGAUGAUGGGUAGCCGGACUGAGAGGUUGAACGGCCACACUGGGACUGAGAUACGGCCCAGACUCCUACGGGAGGCUG
rnacentral:rRNA from 1 species